UACGAGUGCCCCCAAGCGUUAUCCGGAAUUAUUGGGCGUAAAGGGUGUGUAGGUGGUUUUUGUUAGUCUUCUGUUAAAUUCUUCGGCUUAACCGGGGGGCCUGCAGAAGAAACGGCAAAACUAGAGGAUGCGAGAGGUGUGCGGAACUCAUGGUGUAGGGGUGAAAUCCGUUGAUAUCAUGGGGAACACCGAAAGCGAAGGGCAGCACACUGGUGCAAUUCCUGACACUGAAACACGAAAGCGUGGGGAGCGAACAGG
rnacentral:rRNA from 1 species